rnacentral:rRNA from 1 species
AUAAAAAACCAACGCCCUUCGGGGCUCCUUGGUGAAUCAUAAUAACUAAGCGAAUCGCACGGCCUUGCGCCGGCGAUGGUUCAUUCAAAUUUCUGCCCUAUCAACUUUCGAUGGUAAGAUAGUGGCUUACCAUGGUGGCAACGGGUAACGGGGAAUUAGGGUUCGAUUCCGGAGAGGGAGCCUGAGAAACGGCUACCACAUCCAAGGAAGGCAGCAGGCGCGCAAAUUACCCAAUCCCGGCACGGGGAGGUAGUGACAAUAAAUACUGAUACGGGGCUCUUUUGGGUCUCGUAAUUGGAAUGAGUACAAUCUAAAUCCCUUAACGAGGAACAAUUGGAGGGCAAGUCUGGUGCCAGCAGCCGCGGUAAUUCCAGCUCCAAUAGCGUAUAUUAAAGUUGUUGCAGUUAAAAAGCUCGUAGUUGAACCUUGGGUCUGGCUGACCGGUCCGCCUCACCGCGAGUACUGGUUCGGCUGGGCCUUUCCUUCUGGGGAACCUCAUGGCCUUCACUGGCUGUGG